UACAGAGGUCUCGAGCGUUGUUCGGAUUCAUUGGGCGUAAAGGGUGCGUAGGUGGCGUGGUAAGUCUGGUGUGAAAUCCCGGGGCUCAACCCCGGAACUGCACUGGAUACUGCCAUGCUUGAGUACUGGAGAGGAGAUUGGAAUUUACGGUGUAGCAGUGAAAUGCGUAGAUAUCGUAAGGAAGACCAGUGGCGAAGGCGAAUCUCUGGACAGUUACUGACACUGAGGCACGAAGGCCAGGGGGAGCAAAACGGGG
rnacentral:rRNA from 1 species